AUUGAACGCUGGCGGCAUGCUUUACACAUGCAAGUCGAACGGUAACAGGCCUUCGGGUGCUGACGAGUGGCGAACGGGUGAGUAAUGUAUCGGAACGUACCCAGAGGUGGGGGAUAACGCAGCGAAAGCUGUGCUAAUACCGCAUGUGACCUGAGGAUGAAAGCGGGGGACCGAGCAGCAAUGUUUGGCCUCGCGCCUUUGGAGCGGCCGAUGUCGGAUUAGCUAGUUGGUGGGGUAAAGGCCUACCAAGGCGACGAUCCGUAGCUGGUCUGAGAGGACGACCAGCCACACUGGGACUGAGACACGGCCCAGACUCCUACGGGGGGCAGCAGUGGGGAAUUUUGGACAAUGGGCGCAAGCCUGAUCCAGCAAUGCCGCGUGCGGGAAGAAGGCCUUCGGGUUGUAAACCGCUUUUGGCAGGAACGAAACGGUGUCCGCUAAUACCGGGCGCUAAUGACGGUACCUGCAGAAUAAGCACCGGCUAACUACGUG
rnacentral:rRNA from 1 species